GGGGUGGGACUGCACAGUGUACUGG
rnacentral:piRNA from 1 species